AGAACGAACGCUGGCGGCAUGCCUAACACAUGCAAGUCGAACGAGAUCUUCGGAUCUAGUGGCGCACGGGUGCGUAACGCGUGGGAAUCUGCCCUUGGGUUCGGAAUAACAGUGAGAAAUUACUGCUAAUACCGGAUGAUGUCUUCGGACCAAAGAUUUAUCGCCCAGGGAUGAGCCCGCGUAGGAUUAGGUAGUUGGUGGGGUAAUGGCCUACCAAGCCGACGAUCCUUAGCUGGUCUGAGAGGAUGAUCAGCCACACUGGGACUGAGACACGGCCCAGACUCCUACGGGAGGCAGCAGUGGGGAAUAUUGGACAAUGGGCGAAAGCCUGAUCCAGCAAUGCCGCGUGAGUGAUGAAGGCCUUAGGGUUGUAAAGCUCUUUACCAGGGAUGAUAAUGACAGUACCUGGAGAAUAAGCUCCGGCUAACUCCGCGCCAGCAGCCGC
rnacentral:rRNA from 1 species